GGAGAGUUGUCCGAGCGGUUUAAGGAGCUAGUCUUGAAAACUAGUGAUGGGGUAACCCACCGUGAGUUCGAAUCUCACACUCUCCGCCA
rnacentral:tRNA from 1 species